rfam:Hordeum vulgare subsp. vulgare, WGS project CAJW01000000 data, contig: morex_contig_39318
UAGAUACUCCCUCCGUCCGGAAAUACUUGUCAUAAGAAUUGAUGUAUCUAGAGAUAUUUUAGUUCUAGAUACAUCCCUUUUUAUCCAUUUGUGCGACAAGUAAUACCGGACGGAGCGAGUACUAA